rnacentral:rRNA from 1 species
UAGGGAAUCUUCGGCAAUGGACGAAAGUCUGACCGAGCAACGCCGCGUGAGUGAGAAGGGUUUCGGAUCGUUAAACUCUGUUGUUUGAGAAAAACAAGGACGGUAGUUACCGAACGUUCCCUGACGGUAUCUAACCAGAAAGCCACGGCUAACUAAGUUCCAGCAGCCGCGGUAAUACGUAGGUGGCAAGCGUUGUCCGGAUUUAUUGGGCGUAAAGCGAGCGCAGGCGGUUUCUUAAGUCUGAUGUGAAAGCCCCCGGCUCAACCGGGGAGGGUCAUUGGAAACUGGGAGACUUGAGUGCAGAAGAGGAGAGUGGAAUUCCAUGUGUAGCGGUGAAAUGCGUAGAUAUAUGGAGGAACACCAGUGGCGAAGGCGGCUCUCUGGUCUGUAACUGACGCUGAGGCUCGAAAGCGUGGGGAGCAAACAGG